rnacentral:rRNA from 1 species
GACGUAGGAUGCGAGCGUUAUUCGGAUUUAUUGGGCGUAAAGCGUGCGUAGGCGGCUAUUUAAGUCUGGUGUUAAAGCUAGGGGCUCAACCCCUGUGAUGCACUGGAUACUGGGUAGCUUGAGUGCGGUAGGGGAAGGUGGAAUUCCGAGUGUAGCGGUGAAAUGCGUAGAUAUUCGGAAGAACACCGGUGGCGAAGGCGGCGACUUCUG